AACGUCCAGUCAACAUCAUCUGCUGUAAGGUGUGAUUCUUGUGUAUUGUGUAUUCUUGUGAUAUCCUGCUGCAGUUAUUGUUCCGGUUCCGGAUGGCUGGACAGGAUGAGUUCGGACCGCUCAGCCACCUCCACCGCGGCCUCCAUGGUCUGUGGGUCGGCCAGUCUCACAUGUUUGCGCAGCUCGUCUGGCUCUAGGGCGCGCAGGAAAUUAUCCAGCGCGAGACUUCUCUGAGCCGCUCGCGGAAAUGCCGGAUAAGCUUGGCGGGUUAGCAGAGCCAUCUCAGAUGCCAGCACGCCCAAAGUCUCUCCCCGCUGCCGGCGCCGGUCCGCCACUAGCAUUUUGGCGGCCGCCUCGGAAGGUUGCCGGCUGAAACGGGUUCUCAGCGCCCGCGUCAAGUCAGACAGCUCGCAGCGGCACUCCGCGGGGAGCUCGAUCAGCACCGUCAGUGCGUCUCCCUGCAGCGCCAGACAGAGGUUGGCCGCCGUCUCAGCAUCCGUCCAGCCCGCACGGCCCGCCACGAUCUCCAGCUGGGCUUCGAAGGCCGUCCAGUCAGCGCUGCCGUCAUAGAAUGACAGGCGGGGAUGAGCCGUCAAGCUCGCCGUCAGCGCCGCCGUCCUCGCGCCAUCCGUUCUGCGGGCUCGACCUUCGGACAGCCUGCUGGCGCCGUCCGGUCUGGGUCCACUCCGCUGGUGAGUCUCGCCCCUCGUCCGCAGUAAUCCUCUUCAGCCGUUCAAUUUCCCCUGCCAGCAGCUCCAUAUCAUCCAACAGGGCCGCUUCUGACACCAAAUGUGGCGUGGAAGAGGAAGGAGGACCCGUGAGACUCAUUGCAAAUACUCAACAGCUCUUUAUUAACAGGCUUGCCACUCACUUAUAGCCUUUAACAAGGCUAGGAGAGCGAAACCCAACUGCCCACACAGCAUAAACAGCCCUAAGGUCACUAAACCAACUAGGAAUCUACCGGAUGGUAGAUUCAGAGUGGUGCCCACCACUCUGCAUAACCCCACCUAAAAGGGAGGCCCCACACCUGACAUCCACUCACACACAGGCACACAGAGACAGGCACACAGAGGCGGGCACACAGAGACAGGCACACAGCAGCCACACACACACACACACAGACGCCACAAUAUAUAUAUAUAUAUUAUAUUAUAUUAUUCCUUAUUAACCCCGCUCCACGCGGGGAUCGAACCCAGGCUGUCGCGGCCGCAGCCCAAUGCUCUAACCGCUGCACCAGCGAGCGGAUUGGGACGCAGCCGCUUUAAUCGCCUUAUAAAGCUCCACCGAAAGGGGCGGAGCAACGAAAACGGGCGGAGGAGGAAAACGGGUGGAAAACAAAACCCACGCCGAGCGUGAGUGAAAGAGAGGGGGAGAAAACGUAAAUAAAUACCGCCGGGAAGUGCGGCUACCUCUUAUG
rnacentral:lncRNA from 1 species